UGGACAUGCUCCUGUACAGACCUCUGAGGAGAACCAAGGUGCAGUCAAAGAGUCCAGUCUGUCCUCACAGAUGUGAACAUGUGGUUUCAUCAGGUCUGCUGUCAGCUAGCAGGCUCACAUCAGAAUCACUGUUCCUGAAAAACACAGUCUGUGUGACAUCAUCAGUCAGCUGAUCGUCCCAGAUCUGAAUGGUUUCUGUCUCUACUGAGGAAGUCAGAGAAUAUCACUGAGGUGUGGAUCAGGUCUGAGUGACCUGUGGAGGGACAGCUUUAAACAGUCCACAGGUCUCACGUCCUGCUCAGUCUGGUAGCAGAUACCUCGUAUUGUUCCAGAUGUGCUGACAUCACCAGCAGCAGCAGCAGCACAGCUGUGUGAUACGAUGAAUCUCAGUUAUUGAUCCAACACACAGUAAAUACAAAGAUCAGGAUUUAUGAGAGUAAUCAUUAUGAGUCUGAACACAUGAUCACUGAAUGUGAGUCUCCACAAUAAUAAGCUAACACAAGCAAACACAGCUUUCAGCUCUUAUUUUGAAACUUAUUUAGAGAGCUGUGAUGUGAGCGUGCCUGGCUCUGAGGCACUUGGGUCAGCCUCUGUUGUUUAGAAGUGUUACAGACUGUGAAUGACACAGACCUGUCAGUUUUCAUGUUUGUCUGUAGCACAGCUCAGGGGCUCCAUGCUGAACGCAUCCAUCCAGUGUUAUUGAUCCAGCACUAAUACCAGCAUUGGAUCAAUACUACAAUACACAAUCACAUGUGUCCACGUGAUGGAUUUGACCAGCUUUAUUCAUUAAUGAUCAAUCAACUUAUUUACUGUAUCUGAGUCCAGCUUCAUUUAAAUGAUCCAACCAUGAAAAUGACAUCAGUCCUACAGAAGCACUUAAUGCUAACAGGAAGUCAUUUAUUAAGGUGGAAUAACACAGAGACACACAACCACUCACAGUUAACCUGACCCCACUAACUGCAUGUGUUUAGACUGUGGGGGGAGUGAUUUUGAAGAUCAUGCAGAAAUGUGCGCGCCCUUAUCUGAGGGGACAUGGAGAGAGUGUCGCAGACUCGAGGUGAGAAGAUAAACCUCGGAGCUGGAUGGCCUGCACGUUACCUAUGUGCAUCUUUUCAAUGACAUCAAGUGAGCCCAUAAUAAGCAUUUCUAUGACAUCAUAUCCAUUUCUAAUGAGAGAUUAUUUUUUAAAUGAGGGAAACCUGGUCUAACAACACGCUAACAACAGAGCUAAAGGUUCAUCACAUGUGAGACGGUGGGACUCUGAUAAGAACUGAAACACUGUGUCUAAACAGCUGAGACAAAACUAUAUAUAAACACUCAUUUAUUCCAGUUUAGUUUACAAUGAUUUUUAAAGUAAUGUGGAAUGAUUCAUGUUCAUGAGCUGUUACAAACACAACUAUUUAUUUGUCUUUCAUAUGGUUGGACUACAAGGCUUGUGUUGAGGGUCUUGGAAUAAUGUGUGAACAACAGCAAGAAAUGAUCGUUUUCCCAUUUUACCAAAGUGGAAUAACAUCACCACAGCAACAAAUAAUGUUAUUGUCUGCAGCUAAAAUAUAUAGUGAACAUGGUUUUAUAAUAAUGUGCAAACACAACCUCACUCUGCUAUAUACGAGGAGCCAACCACAGCUGUCCGGGUCUUCAUCCACGACCUCCGCCAUCAUUUCUUUGCUCACCAUCAUUCACUUAAUUGCUUAGAUUGGUUUAAAUCAAACUCCAUUACAGGUUCAACUCCAUUAUAUAAAUAAAGAAGUGGAAGAGUUAAAGAGCUGCAGCAGAUUAACAGUUUCUGACAGCCAUGUGUUAAGAAAUAGGACGAUUAGAUGAGCUGAGGGAUCCAUCUACUGCUCAAUGAAGCCUCAUCAGAAACAGUCUCAGUGGAAGGAUGGCUCUAUUCUUAAGGAAGGACACAGGCAGAAAGACUGGCGUCUGUCACAUUACACAGGAACUGGACUGAAAAUCAGCUGCAAAUAUUCAUCAGUAUGUGCAAACAUAUUAUAGGUAUGGAAUUCAGGAAAGUACCAUCAGAAGUUGAUCCACUGUGCAAAUGUCUGAUUGGCAGUGGCUUCAUUUUUCACUAUGAACAAACUGCUAAUGCAGUAUGCAGCAUCACAGGACUUCAGGCAUGGAUUGGCCUCCCCAGACCUCAACAUUACUGAAACAUCUUAACAGAGGAUGGAAACAAAGGGAACCAACAUCCAAGAAAAGAGCUGCUCCUGAAUACUUCCUCACAGAAAACACAAAAAAGCUUGACUAAGAGACGUCAGGCUGUGCUGAAUAAUAAAGGUGGACUGACUUCCAGGGUCCUUAGUAUCAUAUAAGCUCAGUUUUUGUCUUAUAUACUGUAUUUCAUUUAUAUAACAAAAUAUAUAGAAAGGAGGGUGGUUUAAGAUGUCUGUAGAGAUUUAUUCAUUAUCUUUAAACCAACAAAGAAAGCACCAUCCAGUCGUCUCCAGUCUGUAUGAAAAACAGGGGAAAGGUCAAAUUAAACCUUUGAAAUUUCUUUCACAAUAAAUCCAAUCAUGACCAAAAUCAAAAAAAGUGUUUAAACACACUUUUCCAUAAAGCUGUCAAUUGGAAAUGUUCCAGUAAACAUGUCUUGUGUUUCUGCUGUUUUCCUUUCAUGUGUCCACAGCUGACAGGUAACCCUAUUGGAGUCGCCAUAGUGACCCGUGGCGUCUCAGCUUCAGUGUGUUGAUGGGCACAGCCAUGGUUACCACAGCUGGAGUUGGUACACGCCGAGCUGUGAGAGGACAGAGAUGGAGAACGGACAUUUAACUAUUUAACAGGAGAUACGUUACGACUAACAGACGACUGCUGUUUAAAUGAUGUCUUUGCAGCCUUCAUGCUACAUGUUACACAACUUUUCUUCAUGCCAACAAGACUGAGGUGCCACAUAGUUGACACAUACAACUGAUUAUGAUGCAUAUUUUACUAUUGCUAUGUUCACAUCAUCUCCUUGGCUUUAUUAUUGAAAGCCUUGAGAUACUCUGACUUGUGCAUGGCUGAUGUGAAGUAUGAUUAGUACUACAUGACUUACACCAUCAACAACAGAGGCAAUGAAAGCUUUGUUUUUAACAGGUUGUAGGUAAAGUCAAAUUUCUAACUCUACACUUGUGUUGGGUAAAGUUCUUCUCACUGCAGCAGAUUUAUAUCUGUGGUUUCACAGGGCGUGAUGUGGACCUCAGCGCUGAGGUGCAGUUCUCCUUGGAGACGGCAUCCUGGCUGAAAUAUUAUCAUGCUUCCAAAACACUUUCAGCUUUUAUUUUGAAAGAAACAAAACUUGAAAACUAAUCCCCUUCUUCCUCUUUUUAUUUGUUCUUCAGAGGAGUGUCACCUGGACAAACUCAGGGCUAUUCUAGGGCCUUUGCUAUUAUUUGACUCCAUAUAAAUAAAACUGAUUUGAAUCAAACCAUUUGCUGGCAAACAAAAACUCCCAAACAGCUAAAAUACUUCGCUUUAUUCUCUUUUUUAACAAAUACGUUGAAGUACAUCCAUAACAACACAGCUGAGAUCUCCUUUUUAAUCAAGUGUUUACAUCCUUUGUACAGAUCUGUAUACAAAACAAUCAUUUACGUCCCAUAGAAGUCUAGUUACACGUAACUAUACAAGAACUCGUAAAUGAAAUAAACAUAAAACACAUAAUCACAGGUGAUAACAAAAAAAGAGAAAGAAUUCACGUGUUAGGGAUGUUUUUGCAGCGCUAAUGGCUCAUGUUGGAGAAAAAAACUGAGGCUGGAGUAUCUCAGUGACUUGGUUGAGGUGAAGUAUGACGAGUAUCCCUGAUUCAUUCCAUCGAGACAAAGGGGAAAGAAAGCUGUUGUUAACAAACUCUAUGGUGUGGACCUCAGCGCUGAGGUGCAGGAGAGUUUCAGUCAGUUCUCCCUGCAAACCAGCAUCCAGCCUGAAAAUACUGUCAUCUUUCCCAGAAAUGGUCGUCUUAUCUCAGAGAAGAAGUUUGAUGUAAAAUAACUGCAAUCAACAGUGAUAUUAUGCACAGAUCACUUUUCCAUUUUGCUCUCUAGAUGAGUCCCAGCUGCCUGACCUUGUGUCCAGGUGAUCGUCUCACUGAGGAGCUGUUGUUCUGAAAAUCUCACGUCCAUGACCUGUUUCCUUUUUACUAUCUCUGCUCUGUCUUUAUUAACAAUGCUCAUAAUAUCACAAAAUUAUAUUCAUCACUUGCCUGCUUUUAUCCACCUGCUGUUAGAACCAAACAAAUAAAAAGGAGGAAAUGCCUAAAAUCCUUUGAUUUAUUACAUUUUGAAACAAAUAUGAGUACAUCCCUAACAGCACAGCUGAGACCUUUGUUUUAAUCAAGCCUUUGUAUCUACACACUUUGUAAAGAUUCAAAUACAAAACAUAAUAGAAUUAAAUAAAUAUAAAAUACACAUAAUCACAGAAGAUGACCAAAACAAUGCACCCAUGUUGUGAAUUUGCAUCUAAAACAUGCAUGUUUCCCUUUGUACAGGCAGAUUUACAGCAGACAAACAACACGGUGACAGACUUUGACCGCUGCAAAAACAAAGUACCCACCAAGUCUGAAGCAGAUCAGAGGAACUGUUGAGCAGACAGACUGACAGACAAACAUACAGAUGCUUGAUUCAUCAGUGCGAUAAAGUGUUCUUCUUUAACAGCAUCACUUCAUGUGUUUGUUUUCCAGGAAUAAAGGUCUAUUUAAACUGGACAUCUCCUCAGCAUCACCAGUGGUGUCAUGGUUUCAAAGCUGUGCAGUAGAGCAAAGAAUCUGAGGGAUGAUACAGAGAUGACCAAAGUUACAGACAAAUCCAGCUGUGCUGGAAAUGUUUGCAGAGCUCCAAACUCUUUGGCUUUCUGUAGAGCAAGUAUGGAAGAAGCACCUGAGCUAACUUACAUUUAGAUGAUAUGAGGAAAAAUGCCGCUUCCCAAAGUUUCCUACAAGUAUCCAGUUUAUAUUUAGAGAAGCAAAGGCUCUUUAUCCUGACAACUACUCCCUGGUGGAUCCCUGUCCUGUGACAGUAGCAAAGAAUGUGUAUCAGUAUUAUCAAAGCCACUUCAAUAACCAGUUUUUAAAGCUAUCUAGCAGAUGGACUUAAGUGCCAGUAGCCUCUGUCUGCUGUGUACAGAAGGUUCUAUGAUGAAGCACAGAUGCUGCACUACAACAGUAGCAGCAGGUCAGCUUCAGUUUGGUUCAACGCCCCUUUUUGACCUAUGAAACAGCAGAAAAUGAAACAUUUCAAC
ensembl:lncRNA